UGUGGGUUUGAGCCUCGCAUCGGGCUCUGUACCCUCUCUCUCUCUCUGCCCCUCCCUUGCUUGUACUCGCUCUCACUCUCUCUCUAAAUAAAAAAAUGAACUUAAAAAAGAGAAAUGUACAUUUUAGGUCUUAUUUCAAUAUUCUAGGAAAAUAAUAACAUAUAAUAACCAUAAUUUCUAUUAUGAAAACUAUACUGGAAUAGAGAAUGAAGCCUACUCUAACCGUCCUAUUUAAAUGUAUAACCUUUUCCCCUUAACUACAGAUUCCCGACUCCUUACACUGAUGUUUCCCCCUGAGAACUUUUCAUUGCCUAAUAAAUUACAUACUAUAUUCACUUAGUAAAUUUGUUUAUUGUCGGUCUUCCUCCACAGAAAUAGAAGCUCUUCAAAGGCAGGAAUUUCUGUUCGUUUUGUUCACUAACUUAUUCCAAGCACCUACAACAACCUAGGACUAUAACGACUGAAUGAGAAGUAAUGGAUAACAGACUGCCUGAGAGUCAAAGGAGGAAAUGGAGCUAACAAUAUACACUUUUCUAAAUAUCACCUUCACUCACUUUGGAGAAAAAGAAAAGAUUUGUCAUUCCUCAAACCUAGGAACCUAACUGAAUUGUGGUGAUAAUCUUCUCUACCUUAAGACACACAGUAGCAGAACUGGAAUAAAACCAGCUUCAUUAUGGGCUAAAGUCCAGAUUUAUUCCAAUAUCUGAGGCUGACUCGGAAAUGGGCCUUAAGAAUCCAAGUAAGGAAAGUUUUGGAUGUGUAUUUGACUGAUGUAUGCAGCAUAAGGUAAAUAAAAGAUGUAAGAGUUGGUAAGUGCUAGAGAUUUCACUGUGUUGGGGGGCGGGGAGGAUCUCGAAAAAAAUUUUAACUUCUGGGAUGAAAAAGUAGAGAAAUAUUUAAAAUCUGUCCCAGAUUACUCAGGUAUUUAACUAAAUUGAAAAUAAAUGGCAAUACCAAAUCACCUGUCUUGAUUAAGACUGCCAGAUUUAGGGGCACCUAGGUGACUCAGUCAGUUAAGCGACUGACUCUUAGUUUCCGCUCAGGUCAUGAUCUCACAGUAUGUGGGAUCAAACCCCACGGAUGGGCCGUGUGCUGACAGCACUGA